UCACGUGCUAUGGAUUUCUCUGUGAAUCACUAUAUCAAAUCUAGUGUGGUAGUGGUUUACAAAGUAAUUCAUAGUGCUUCA
rnacentral:pre_miRNA from 7 species